rnacentral:rRNA from 1 species
UACGUAGGGUGCGAGCGUUUGUCCGGAAUUAUUGGGCGUAAAGAGCUUGUAGGCGGUCUGUCGCGUCUGCUGUGAAAAUCCGGGGCUCAACCCCGGACUUGCAGUGGGUACGGGCAGACUAGAGUGUGGUAGGGGAGACUGGAAUUCCUGGUGAUAGCGGUGAAAUGCGCAGAUAUCAGGAGGAACACCGAUGGCGAAGGCAGGUCUCUGGGCCAACUACUGACGCUGGAGAAGCG